GGAUUCCAGCCAACCUGGCUUCCACAUCUGCGCCAACCUAUUGCUCACCAGGGUUGACUCAGCUGAUCUGGCCGGCUGGGUGGGUGUCCCUUUCCUGCCUAGGCACUCCCCGCAUGUCCUUCCCGGUGGAAGAGAAGCCUCCCUGAGGAAGAGGACCCGCUUUGGUCAAGGGCACACCCGCUGCGGUGCUCCCCUGCCAGAACCUCCAAACCCCGCACAGGAGGGCAGGCUCUGGCCGGCAGAGGGUGUGGAGACAGCAGCUUGCCCAGGUUUAUUGCCCUUGGAUCUGCCAUCUGCAGCGACUCUGUAAGAGCUGCUUUCCUCCAGAU
rfam:Heterocephalus glaber contig190454, whole genome shotgun sequence.